GAUCCCUGGCCUUGCUCAGUGGGUUAAGGAUCCGGUGUUGCCUUGAACUGUGGUGUAGGUCAGAGUUGUGGCUUGCAUCAUGCAUUGCUUUGGCUGUGGCCUAGGCUGGCAGCUGCAGCUCCAUUUCGAGCCCUAACCUGGGAACCUCCAUAUGCCUUGCGUGCGGCCCUAAAACGAACAAGAAAAAAAAAAUCACUUAGGAGGAUUAUAUAGAGCUGUACAGAUAUCAUGAACAGUUAUGUCCCCACCAACCAAGGGAAUAAAUAUUGACAUUUUUUAUAAUCAACAAUUUUUAUUAGCAUUAAAAGAUACAUAUAUAUUUUAUGGCUGCACCUGUAGCAUAUGGAUGUUCCCAGGCCAGGGAUUGAACGCCAGAUCCUUUAACCCACUGCACCGGGCAAGGGAUCAAACCCUCCCCUCGGCAGUGACGAGAGUUAAGUGGGUUAAGACCCAAUGGGCCACAGUGGAAAUGCCUAAAAAUAUUUUAAUCUAACGACACCCUGUGAGUUAUAGGUGGGUUUUAAAGCUUGUUUGUGCUCGAAAUAAAAGAUAUAAAACAUUUACAUCUUCCUCAUCUCACCCCUUGACCUUCCUCGAAGCCCUGAGGUGACCCAGCCAUGGAUACGCGCCCUGUGUGCCCCAGCGUGGGUGGGUGGGUGGAGUGUUCCCUGGUGUCUGACAGCACCAGGCCGUGGAGGAUGUGAGCACAGGGCGGGGAGGGUGGACUCUGGCAGACCAGAGACGGAGACCUGCCUCUACCACUUCUGCCUGGUGUCCUUUGGCCUUUUCGAGUCUCAGUUUUCCCAUCUGUAACCUGGCAAUGAUUCGUUCACAGCAUUGUAAACAUGGGGAUGAGGGUAAAAGGGCUGGCCAGAAGCUGUGACUAAUCUUAUUUAGCCGUUUAUGCUUUCAUCUCUUGUUUUUUCUUUUCUUUUUUCCUUUUUAAUGACCACAGGUGUGGCAUAUGAAAGUUUCCAGGCUAGGGGUCCAAUCGGAGCUACACCUGCCUUCCUACACCACAGCCACAGCCACGCAGGAUCCAAGCCUCGUCUGAGACCUACCCCACAGCUCGAGGCAAGGGCAGAUCCUUAACCCACUGAGCGAGGCCAGGGAUCGAACCCGAAUCCUCAUGGAUACUAGUUGGUUUUGUUUCUGCUGAGCCUCUUAGAACCUGUGAGGAGUUCCCUUCAUGGCUCAGUGGUUUACAAACCCGAUUAGCAUCCAUGAGAUGCAGGUUCGAUCCCUGACCUCACUCAGAGGGUUAAGAUCCAGCGUUGCGGUGAGCUGUGGUGUAGGCCAGCAGCUAUAGCUGUGAUUCGCCCCGUCUGGGAACUUCCAUAUGCUGUGGGUGUGGCCCUAAAAAGCAAUAAAUAAAUAAAUAAAUCUCAGGAGUUCCUGUCGUGUCGCAGUGGUUAACAGAAUCCGAUGAGGAACCUUGAGGUUGUGGGUUCGAUCCUUGGCCUUGCUCAGUGGGUUAAGGAUCCAGUGUUGCCGUGAGCUGUGGUGUAGUUUGCAGGUGUGGCUCGGAUCCUGUGUUGCUGUGGCUCUGGUAUAGGCUGGUGGCUACAGCUCUGAUUAGAUCCCUAGCCUGGGAACUCCACAUGCCAUGGGAGCGGCCCUAGAAAAGGCAAAAAGACAAAACAAACAAACAACCUUUGAGAGCAGAGCCCCUGCCCCUAGCCUGUGUUAAACACCCUUUGUAUUAUUUUCAGAGCCUCCUAGCUCAGUGUAGAAGUUUAUUCAUUGUUUCUUGAAGAAAUGCUUGAAAUGCCCUGCUCCCAGCCUUGGUUCAGAGAGACAUGUAGGGGCUGGUGCAACAGUAGCUGUGUUCUCAGGACACCCAGAGUUCCCGUUGUGGCUCAGUGGAAAUGAAUCUGACUAGUAUCCAUGAAGACACAGGUUUGAUCCCUGUCCUUGCUCAGUGGGUUAAGGAUCUGGCAUUGCUGUGAGCUGUGGUGUAGGUCGCAGAUGCAGGUCAGAUCGGGCCUUGCUGUGGCUGUGGCCGGCAGCUGCAGCUCCAAUUCGACCCCUAGCUGGGAACUUCCAUAUGCUAUGAGUGCAGCCCUAAAAAAAAAAAAAAAAAAUCACACACAAUUCAAUUCGAUGGCAAGGGACUAGGAGAUGCUGCCUCACUGCCCUUGAUUUUCUUAACACUUGUGCAUUUUACACUGUUGAUGUUUCAGGUGCGUCUUUGCAGCCUGUGCCCUCAGGCACGCUCAUUUUGCAGGGAUCCUCAGUCACUGUUGGGGUGUCGUCUCUGGCAGAACAUGGGAAACAGACACAGGACAUAGAGACCAAAGGACUCAGGCACAGGCAGGAAGGGGACAGCAGGGGGCACCAAACCCGCACACUUCUGCGGGGAGAUGGCGCCUGGACAGGGCCUCCAGCUCGUGUUUUAUGUCUCUUUGCCUUCUCUUUCCUGGGACUUGAUCAUUUCAUUUUAGCCAGAGUUAGAUUCUACAGCAGAACAGCAGGGAAUGUUCUUUGUUAAAAGGACAAAGCAUCCCCUCCCCUUUUCUGGAAGAAGAAACAAAAAGCUGCCCGAGAUAGGAGGAAUUCCCAGGAGGGUCCCGUGGGGGUCUUGGGCUCAGAGAUCAAGGGCCCUGCCUCCAACCCACAGAAGCUGUCAUCACAAAGAGCCAGGUCCUUCAUCAUCCUUUGAUUUGCAUUUUUUCAUCUUAAAUCACGAGCCAGAGUUCCUUGUUUCCAAGUGCUAUGGACUGGAUGUGUGCGUCCCCCUAAAUUUAUAUGUUUACAUGUUACCCCUAAUGUGAUGCUAGGAAGAGGCGGAGCCUUUGGGAGGUGAUUAGUGAAUGGAAUGGAAUUCCCUAGUGAAUGGAAUUUGUGCCUGUAUAAAAAGAAGCUCCAGGAGUUCCGUCGAGGCUCAGUGGUUAACGAACCCGACUAGUAUCCAUGAGGAUACAGGUUCAAUCCCUGGCCUUGCUCAGUGGGUUAAGGAUCCAGCAUUGCUGUGAGCGUGGUGUAGGUUGCAGACAUGGCUCAGAUCUGGUGUUGCUGUGGCUGUGGUGUAGGCUGGCAGCUGUAGCUCUGAUUCAACCCCUAGCCUGGGGACCUCCAUAU
rnacentral:lncRNA from 1 species